UCUUCGCUCAGACUCCUUCAAACCAUUAUCCUUACUUUCAGAUUUACGCGACCCUGAAACCCUUUUAGCCGCUGAAACUCUUUUAUCUACUCUUAGAUUCAGGCAACCAUGAAACUAUCUCUCUCCUUUCGAGGCCGCCGUAGUUGCUAGAUUUUCUCUUCAUCAUCUUGAUUCUACAGUGCAAGAGGCUGUUUUGUAACCUAAUUACACCGAAAUAUAAGGGAAGAUACCUGAUUAGGCUUUCUCUUUGAUGACACAGCGGGAACCGAUAAAGCUUGGUUUCCAACCAUAGUAAAAAAAAACUAUGUCUUGUUGGACUAAAUUUAUAAAAGUCUAAAGGAAGUGAAUCACUAAUUGUGGUGGAUUUCUUCUGAAUUCUUGUGGAAGUUGCAGGAAUCUCUAUGUUACUUUUAAUCUCUGAAGAAGGAAACCAAGCAAGUUUUGUUUUGGAGAAGGAAAUGAUCCUAGUUCUCUUUCGUUAAUGUUUCCAUCUCCAUUUGCAAAGUUUUGUAAUCAACACCAACAAUAAGCUUUCAUUUUCUCUUUGUGAAUCAAGCAAGGUAGACAAUAUCAUUCCUUUAUAAAAAAAAUCACCUUUUAUUCAUAAAUAUUUUCAUAUUUGCAAAUGAUAUUUUGGAUCUAUUGCAAAAAAGGAUUUUUAGUUUGUAAAUUGCUUCGUAUCAUCCAUCCAUGAUAAGUUUAUGACCUUUAUCUUCUUGGUUUGUUCAUGGAUUCUACAUAAUGUAUUCUAGAUGGUUUGGUCAUGCAUCCACCAUCAUGCUCAUAAAACAGUAUAAACAUGUGUUGAAGAAAUGACCUAUAGUCGACACCCAAGUCAAACUCAGAGGUAUGGUCUCUUUCAACAAUUGGAGUGCGAGCCAACGUUACCAAAUUGAGUAUGCACUUUUCUUGACUCAAUUUUUGGUCAAUGUCUACAAUGUUAAUCUUGGUCACAACUACUGUUGCAAAGAGGAUCAUGUGAAAUUUUUUAGGCAUUUGAUAUUUGAUAUCUUAGGAAUAGCAUUUUGGAUGCAAAUAUGAUUGGUAUUAGUGUCGGGUGAUAUGUGUAACACCCCUUUUUAUACCCCAAAAUACUUAACAUAUAAUCAG